UGGCGGACGGGUGAGUAAUGUCUGGGAAACUGCCCGAUGGAGGGGGAUAACUACUGGAAACGGUAGCUAAUACCGCAUAACGUCGUAAGACCAAAGAGGGGGACCUUCGGGCCUCUUGCCAUCGGAUGUGCCCAGAUGGGAUUAGCUAGUAGGUGGGGUAACGGCUCACCUAGGCGACGAUCCCUAGCUGGUCUGAGAGGAUGACCAGCCACACUGGAACUGAGACACGGUCCAG
rnacentral:rRNA from 1 species